ACUUAUUUGUGAAGGAUUUACUCCAUAUACUGUAACUCCAAAUCAUAUAGAGGAGUAGAUCCGACAACGAAUGCAACAUUAUGUAUAUUGGGCAUAUUUUGUCAACUCAACUCAAAUCUCGUUUAAUCACAAACUAAGGUUACAAGUUUACAAAAUAGAGCAGUAUCACACGGUAUCGGCGGAUGAGUGAUGAGUUAACAAGCCAUUGGAGACUAUAUGUUUUACUCCUUUUCUGCGUAGAUUUAUUGCGAAUACAUGAAUGGGAAUAUUUUGAUGAAUGAACAAUUGUUUUGGUUGUGAAAUAGAUCAUCGCCGACUGGGAAAGCUAUGGAUUAAUUUGUAGGGUUGUCAAUGGAAAAGUUGUUGUAAGACACAGGCACGCUCCCCGGCUAGUCCUAGGCCCUUAACGUGCUACUCGGACCUGUACGGGCGUUGGUCACAAGUGGAGCUGCAGGGGCGUUAUUUACAGGUGGCGCCGCAGGGGCUUCGGUCAAAGGGGGUCCGCAGGGGCGUUGGUCGCCGGCAGGGCCGCGUGGGCGUUGGGCACCGGCGGGGAAGCACUGUUGUCAACACUCGUUGUCCCACUCUCCGGAACGGGACGUGACGUGGAGCCUGGUUGCGGCUUCCAUUUUGCACAAGUAACUGUUUGUAGCACAUGCGAUUGCUGAGCUGAUGCUUGACGAUUAUCCAUAACCGAGGUGUAGCCACAUUCGGAGUGAGAGUCGUCUGUGUCGGAUGGAUGCGUGUUUUCUGCCUCCAUAUCAGGCUGCAGGCGGCAAGGGGGCCUCGGUUCCUUAAUAUUUGAAUUUGCUUUAAGGUUUCUGUUUGCUUGUUCAGUCAUGAAGAUAGUGUUCAUUUCAACAGUAGAGUCAACAUCAUGGUGACUAUCAUUGUCUCUUGGCCUGUUGAUAAUAAUAUGCCAGUCGGGGAAUUUAUCUUCUGUCACCAUUUAAUCAAUUUCUAAUGUCGCUGGGUAUCGGAGUUUAACACGUUCUGUCCCAAGAUUUCCUUUUGGCUUCAUAUAUUCAGGCCAUAACUCGCGCCUUGCGUUUGAUAUUUCGACAGGGUAAUCUCUAUUUAUACCUAUAGUAGUAUUUCUGAGUUUGAUUGCAUUUUUCAGAAUAUGGCCUACUUGGAAGCGGUCUGUGAAGGUGACCAAGAUGGACCGGUGGAUGACCUUACCACGAAUGAAGCGACGUCGACCUAUUCGCAUCGCGUGACGUAUGGUGAAUGAGUCGGCGGCCAGCCGGAGCUUAUCGAAGAGCACUGAACGAACAACUUCCGUUGUGUCUUGAUGUUCGCGCUCCUCCAACCCAGCAAACAAUACAUUGCAUGAUCUAAGCUUCACAUCGAUGUCAUUAGACCUGUAUUCUAGCGCACGUAAACGUUUAUCUGUGACAUCCUGACGUGCCCAUUCUAGAAACGUACGGGCCUCAAAAGUAUCAACACGUAUUUUGAGUGGUGCUCGAUGUGAUGAUAAUACAUCAUACAUUGAUGAGGGUUUAUUUUCAUUAUCAAGUUUGUUAAAGUCACCAAGUGGAAGCUAUGACUUUUAGUAUUUAUCAGUACCUUGCUGAGAUCCAUGGUGGGUAUUUGUCAGUGCCAUGUGCCAUCUUUUGUUGGCAGUUAUGAAUAAAACAAUAAACAAGGUCAUCCCAAUAAAGUUCUGUACCAUGCAAACAUACCUAGGCAAUUGUAAUAAA